rnacentral:rRNA from 1 species
UGGGGAAUCUUGGACAAUGGGGGCAACCCUGAUCCAGCCAUGCCGCGUGUGUGAAGAAGGCCUUCGGGUUGUAAAGCACUUUCAGCGAGGAGGAAAAGGCAGGUGUUAAUACCACCCUGUUUUGACGGUACUCGCAGAAGAAGCACCGGCUAAUUUCGUGCCAGCAGCCGCGGUAAUACGAAAGGUGCAAGCGUUAAUCGGAAUUACUGGGCGUAAAGGGCGCGUAGGCGGCGUGUUCAGUCGGCUGUGAAAGCCCCGGGCUCAACCCGGGAAUGGCAUCCGAUACUGGCACGCUAGAGUGCAGUAGAGGGAGGUAGAAUUCCAGGUGUAGCGGUGAAAUGCGUAGAGAUCUGGAGGAAUACCAGUGGCGAAGGCGGCCUCCUGGACUGACACUGACGCUGAGGCGCGAAAGCGUGGGUAGCAAACA